rnacentral:tRNA from 1 species
GGCCUUGUGGUUUAGAGGUAUAAUUCUCGCUUCGGGAAAUCAUCUUCCCGGCCCGUAACAGGGUCAAGACUAUCUGUGAGAGGUCCCGGGUUCGAAUCCCGGCAAGGCCC